AUUGAACGCUGGCGGCAUGCUUUACACAUGCAAGUCGAACGGUAACAGGCCUUCGGGUGCUGACGAGUGGCGAACGGGUGAGUAAUGCAUCGGAACGUACCCAGAGGUGGGGGAUAACGCAGCGAAAGCUGUGCUAAUACCGCAUGUGAUCUGAGGAUGAAAGCGGGGGACCGAGCAGCAAUGUUUGGCCUCGCGCCUUUGGAGCGGCCGAUGUCGGAUUAGCUAGUUGGUGGGGUAAAGGCCUACCAAGACGACGAUCCGUAGCUGGUCUGAGAGGACGACCAGCCACACUGGGACUGAGACACGGCCCAGACUCCUACGGGAGGCAGCAGUGGGGAAUUUUGGACAAUGGGCGCAAGCCUGAUCCAGCAAUGCCGCGUGCGGGAAGAAGGCCUUCGGGUUGUAAACCGCUUUUGGCAGGAACGAAACGGUGUCCGCUAAUACCGGGCGCUAAUGACGGUACCUGCAGAAUAAGCACCGGCUAACUACGU
rnacentral:rRNA from 1 species